CAGUAGCCGCGGUAAUACGUAGGGUGCGAGCGUUAAUCGGAGUUACUGGGCGUAAAGCGUGCGCAGGCGGUUCGUUAAGACAGAUGUGAAAUCCCCGGGCUUAACCUGGGAACUGCAUUUGUGACUGGCGAGCUAGGGUAUGGCAGAGGGGGGUAGAAUUCCACGUGUAGCAGUGAAAUGCGUAGAGAUGUGGAGGAAUACCGAUGGCGAAGGCAGCCCCCUGGGCCAAUGCUGACGCUCAUGCACGAAAGCGUGGGGAGCAAACAGGAUUAGAUACCCCUGUAGUCCCUGUCUCUUAUAC
rnacentral:rRNA from 1 species